GACAACAGGAGAGAGCCCAGUGACUUCACAACAAUGACACCUCUAGACUUGAAAGAAAAUCCUGGAGCUGAAGAGGAGAAGAGGGUUGGUGCCAUUGUUGGUGGUGUUCUUGGUGUUGUUGCUCUUGUUAUCCUCAUUAUUAUCGGAGUCCUGGUGAAACUUGGAAUAAUCCAGAAAACACGUGGAGCUAGAAACCAGGGACGAGUGCUGGGAGACGUGUUGUGAUGGUCGAUGGUCGGACGGCUGCUGGAGAGAGAACGACCAAAAACCUCUCUGGUUUCACCAGCUUUAACAGUUCUGCCAAAGUUUUAACUCAACAAACAGUUAAACCUCCCUUCAGGGACUAGGCCAAGUAUUUACACACCUCAAACACACCAGCAACACUGAUUUAAUCUGGUUACUUUCAUUGAUCUCCUGAGCCAGUCAACAACGAGCCCUGGACAAAAUCUACAGGAUACAGGUCAGCUGACAGGUGAAUAAAAUAGGAACAAAACCUGUGACAUCAGUGAUCAGUGAUCAAUAAUACCAGUCAAACCUCUUGCCCCUUCUCACCCAGGUAGAGCAGGGCGUUCACCAACCAGGUGGUCAGUGGUUCAAUCCCAGGCUCCUCCAGUCCAAGUGGACAAGUGACUGAACCUUAUACUGUCCCCGAUGUAUCAUCGGUUUAUAGAUACAAUAAGUACUGUAUGAAUGAGUGAACGAGUGAAUGUGAUGUGUAAAGUCAAUAUAGAAAUACAGUCCAUUUAUCUUUUUCA